rnacentral:rRNA from 1 species
GCGAAAACUUUACAAUGCUGGCAACAGCAAUAAGGGAACCUCGAGUGCCAGGUUACAAAUCUGGCUGUCGAGAUGCCUAAAAAGCAUUUCAUAGCAAGGGCCGGGCAAGACCGGUGCCAGCCGCCGCGGUAACACCGGCGGCUCAAGUGGUAACCGUUAUUAUUGGGUCUAAAGGGUCUGUAGCCGGCCGGAUAAGUCUCUUGAGAAAUCUGGCAGCUUAACUGUCAGGCUUUCAGGAGAUACUGUCUGGCUCGAGGCCGGGAGAGGUGAGAGGUACUUCAGGGUUAGGGGUGAAAUCUUGUAAUCCUUGAAGGACCACCAGUGGCGAAGGCGUCUCACCAGAACGGACCUGACGGCAAGGGACGAAAGCUAGGGGCACGAACC